GGGGGUAUAGCUCAUUGUCAGGGGUAGAGCGCUCGCUUAGCAUGCGAGAGGGCUGGGGUUCGAUUCCCCAUACCUCCA
rnacentral:tRNA from 1 species